GCCGUUCGUGCAGAUCAGGGGCAGCUCGUCCCUACAUACACCAGGUGCCUUCUAAGCACUUGGCCGCAGGUUCGAGUCCUGCCGGGGGCA
rnacentral:tRNA from 1 species